rnacentral:rRNA from 1 species
ACAACCCAANGGAGGCAUCUCCUGCGGGUGGAAAGAACUUCGGUCGAGGAUGGACUCGCGGCCUAUCAGCUUGUUGGUGAGGUAAUGGCUCACCAAGGCGACGACGGGUAGCCGGCCUGAGAGGGUGACCGGCCACACUGGGACUGAGACACGGCCCAGACUCCUACGGGAGGCAGCAGUGGGGAAUAUUGCACAAUGGGCGCAAGCCUGAUGCAGCAACGCCGCGUGAGGGACGACGGCCUUCGGGUUGUAAACCUCUUUUAGCAGGGAAGAAGCGAAAGUGACGGUACCUGCAGAAAAAGCACCGGCUAACUACGUGCCAGCAGCCGCGGUAAUACGUAGGGUGCAAGCGUUGUCCGGAAUUAUUGGGCGUAAAGAGCUCGUAGGCGGUUUGUCGCGUCUGCUGUGAAAACGCGAGGCUCAACCUCGCGCCUGCAGUGGGUACGGGCAGACUGGAGUGUGGUAGGGGAGAUUGGAAUUCCUGGUGUAGCGGUGGAAUGCGCAGAUAUCAGGAGGAACACCGAUGGCGAAGGCAGAUCUCUGGGGCCAUUACUGACGGCUGANGAGCGAAAGCGUGGGGGAGCGAACAGGANUAGAAACCCCNGGNAAGUCC